UAUACAGAUUAUGGGGCUGCUCUGACACCUUCAGGUGCUUAUAGGUGUUCACUGCACAGUCAAAUAAAUCUAGAAAGUCAUAGCCAGGGCUCUCCAACCCUGUUCCUGGAGAGCUACUGUAGGAGAGCUACUGUAGGAGAGCUACUGUUGGUUUUCACUCCAAUCCUAAUCCAGGGCACCUGAUUCUAAUAAUUAGCCGGUGGAUAAACUGAAUUAGGUUAGUUACAACUAGGGUUGUAUUGAAAACCUAAAGGAGGGUAGCUCUCCAGGAACAGAGUUGGAGAGUCCUAUUGGAAUGUCCACAGUGCAAGGUGUUCUACAUUGGCCGGACAAAGAGACGCCUUCAAGGCCGCUUAGCGGAACACAAGUACGCCAUAUGGGUAGGCAAUGAAGACUACCCCAUGGCAAGGCACUACAAGUCCUUAUACCAUGCCAACCCUGCCUCCCUACAAGCUAUGGGUAUUGAUUCAUGUCCCGGCCUCAAUUAGAAAAGGGGACCGUCUUAAACAGUUAAACCAAAAGGAAAGUUUUGUGAUUUACAAACCACAGGCCACUAAAUACCCUGGUUUAAAUGAAGAUAUGGAUUUCUCACCCUUCCUGAAGGGUCGUGAUAGGACCAUUUGCUGUCAUCUAGUGGACAUUUUGCUCAAUUGCCCUCAGCUAUGUUUAGACUGCUGUUGUUCAUGUUUGCUGUGUUCUAGUGUACUAUGGCAUAUAUUGCCUCCUUAUUCUUGACACUUCUCCCAGUCAUAUUUAAGGUUAGAACUACCUUUCUAGGCGUUCUGAUAGUUCUAGCUUGGAGUUGAAUUUUUUGAUAACAUAGCUACAGUAUUUCACUUUUUAAUGUGCAUAGUAUUGCUUACUAGGUGUGUCCAAUCAAUUUUGUGACCACUCCCUCUUCAAAUUAGGGCUAAUUGAAAAAGCUGUUCAAAAGAGGUCAUUGUAUUUUUUUUUUUGUACUCCCUGACCAUGACCAGGCCAUGCAGCCGAAACGCGUCGGAUUUUUAAAAACCUUGUUUCUAUUGAACAUGCCAUACAAAUAAAGGAAUUGUAAUUAAUUA